AUGCACGCUGGCGGCGUGCCUAAUCCAUGCAAGUCGCGCGAACAGACGAGGAGCUUGCUCCUCUGACGUUAGCGGCGGACGGGUGAGUAACACGUGGAUAACCUACCUAUAAGACUGGGAUAACUUCGGGAAACCGGAGCUAAUACCGGAUAAUAUAUUGAACCGCAUGGUUCAAUAGUGAAAGACGGUUUUGCUGUCACUUAUAGAUGGAUCCGCGCCGCAUUAGCUAGUUGGUAAGGUAACGGCUUACCAAGGCAACGAUGCGUAGCCGACCUGAGAGGGUGAUCGGCCACACUGGAACUGAGACACGGUCCAGACGCCUACGGGAGGCAGCAGUAGGGAAUCUUCCGCAAUGGGCGAAAGCCUGACGGAGCAACGCCGCGUGAGUGAUGAAGGUCUUCGGAUCGUAAAACUCUGUUAUUAGGGAAGAACAAAUGUGUAAGUAACUAUGCACGUCUUGACGGUACCUAAUCAGAAAGCCACGGCUAACUACGUG
rnacentral:rRNA from 1 species